rnacentral:sRNA from 1 species
AAUCCUAACCCUCUCUCCCAGAACGUGUCUCUGCUGCAAGGCACCGGGCCCUUUCGCUCUGCAGAACUGCACUUGCAAGACCAUUAUCAAACUCCUAAUCCCAGCUCAGAAAGGGAGCCUCUGCGACUCAUUCAUCACCCUCCAGGACUGACUGCAUUGCACAGAUGAUGGAUAUUUAUGUAUGUUUGAAACGACCAUCCUCAAUGGUGGACAAUAAAAGAAUGAGGACUGCUUCAAAUUUCCAGUGGCUGUUAUCAACAUUUAUUCUUCUAUAUCUAAUGAAUCAAGUAAAUAGCCAGAAAAAGGGGGCUCCUCAUGAUUUGAAGUGUGUAACUAACAAUUUGCAAGUGUGGGACUGUUCUUGGAAAGCACCCUCUGGAACAGGCCGUGGUACUGAUUAUGAAGUUUGCAUUGAAAACAGGUCCCAUUCUUGUUAUCAGUUGGAGAAAACCAGUAUUAAAAUUCCAGCUCUUUCACAUGGUGAUUAUGAAAUAACAAUACAUUCUCUACAUGAUUUUGGAAGUUCUACAAGUAAAUUCACACUAAAUGAACAAAACGUUUCCUUAAUUCCAGAUACUCCAGAGAUCUUGAAUUUGUCUGCUGAUUUCUCAACCUCUACAUUAUACCUAAAGUGGAACGACAGGGGUUCAGUUUUUCCACACCGCUCAAAUGUUAUCUGGGAAAUUAAAGUUCUACGUAAAGAGAGUAUGGCGCUCGUAAAAUUAGUGACCCACAACACAACUCUGAGUGGCAAAGAUACACUUCAUCACUGGAGUUGGGCCUCAGAUAUGCCCUUGGAGUGUGCCAUUCAUUUUGUGGAAAUUAGAUGCUACAUUGACAAUCUUCAUUUUUCUGGUCGCAAAGAGUGGAGUGACUGGAGCCCUGUGAAGAACAUUUCUUGGAUACCUGAUUCUCAGACUAAGGUUUUUCCUCAAGAUAAAGUGAUACUUGUAGGCUCAGACAUAACGUUUUGUUGUGUGAGUCAAGAAAAAGUGUUAUCAGCACUGAUUGGCCAUACAAACUGCCCCUUGAUCCAUCUUGAUGGGGAAAAUGUUGCAAUCAAGAUUCGUAAUAUUUCUGUUUCUGCAAGUAGUGGAACAAAUGUAGUUUUUACAACCGAAGAUAACAUAUUUGGAACGGUUAUUUUUGCUGGAUAUCCACCAGAUACUCCUCAACAACUGAAUUGUGAGACACAUGAUUUAAAAGAAAUUAUAUGUAGUUGGAAUCCAGGAAGGGCGACAGCAUUGGUGGGCCCACGUGCUACAAGCUACACUUUAGUUGAAAGUUUUUCAGGAAAAUAUGUUAGACUUAAAAGAGCUGAAGCACCUACAAAUGAAAGCUAUCAAUUAUUAUUUCAAAUGCUUCCAAAUCAAGAAAUAUAUAAUUUUACUUUGAAUGCUCACAAUCCUCUGGGUCGAUCACAAUCAACAAUUUUAGUUAAUAUAACUGAAAAAGUUUAUCCUCAUACUCCUACUUCAUUCAAAGUGAAGGACAUUAAUUCAACAGCUGUUAAACUUUCUUGGCAUUUACCAGGCAACUUUGCAAAGAUUAAUUUUUUAUGUCAAAUUGAAAUUAAGAAAUCUAAUUCAGUACAAGAACAGCGGAAUGUCACAAUCAAAGGAGUAGAAAACUCAAGUUAUCUUGUUGCUCUGGACAAGUUAAAUCCAUACACUCUGUAUACUUUUCGGAUUCGUUGUUCUACUGAAACUUUCUGGAAAUGGAGCAAAUGGAGCAAUAAAAAACAACACUUAACCACAGAAGCCAUUCCUUCAAAGGGGCCUGAUACUUGGAGAGAGUGGAGUUCUGAUGGAAAAAAUUUAAUAAUCUAUUGGAAGCCUUUACCCAUUAAUGAAGCUAAUGGAAAAAUACUUUCCUACAAUGUAUCAUGUUCAUCAGAUGAGGAAACACAGUCCCUUUCUGAAAUCCCUGAUCCUCAGCACAAAGCAGAGAUACGACUUGAUAAGAGUGACUACAUCAUCAGCGUGGUGGCUAAAAAUUCUGUGGGCUCAUCACCACCUUCCAAAAUAGCGAGCAUGGAAAUUCCAAAUGAUGAUCUCAAAAUAGAACAAGUUGUUGGGAUGGGAAAGGGGAUUCUCCUCACCUGGCAUUACGACCCCAACGUGACUUGCGACUACGUCAUUAAGUGGUGUAACUCGUCUCGGUCGGAACCAUGCCUUAUGGACUGGAGAAAAGUUCCCUCAAACAGCACUGAAACUGUAAUAGAAUCUGCCAGGUGCAGUGGCGGGCACCUGUAAUCCCAGCUACUCGGGAGGCUGAGGCAGGAGAAUCACUUGAACCUGGGAGGCGGAAGUUGCAGUGAGCUAAGAUCACGACCCUGCACUCCAGCCUGGGCGACAAGGCAAGACUCUGUC